rnacentral:rRNA from 1 species
GACAGAGGUGCCGAGCGUUAGGCGGAAUCACUGGGCUUAAAGCGUGUGUAGGCGGGUCGUUAAGUGCCUUGUGAAAUCCCAUGGCUCACCCAUGGAACUUCUUGGCAUACUGGCGAUCUUGAGCCACUUAGGGGCAACCGGAACAAACGGUGGAGCGGUGAAAUGCGUAGAUAUCGCUUGGAACGCCAACGGUGAAAACAGCUCGCUGGGGGUGUGCUGACGCUGAGGAACGAAAGCUAGGGGAGCAAACAGG